rnacentral:rRNA from 1 species
GACGUAGGGCGCGAGCGCUGUCCGGAUUUAUUGGGCGUAAAGAGCUCGUAGGCGGCUCGUUGCGUCGGCUGUGAAAACCUGCAGCUUAACUGUGGGCGUGCGGUCGAUACGGGCAUCACUGGAGUUCGGCAGGGGAGACUGGAAUUCCUGGUGUAGCGGUGAAAUGCGCAGAUAUCAGGAGGAACACCGGUGGCGAAGGCGGGUCUCUGGGCCGAUACUGACGCUGAGGAGCGAAAGCGUGGGGAGCAAACAGG